CCCACACUGUACCAGUGACGGAGAACUUCUCCAGAUAGGUGCUCCAGAACAAGGGGCUGGCAUGUCCUAAUCUAUAUUUUCAAUGCAAAAGAAGGUCCAGGCAAUCAAAAAUCUUUUUUUUGUAUGUGUGCAGACGUUAUUAGGAACUGCAGGUUGGCUGAAACGUUGUCACCAGCAGUUCCUACAUUUUUGGAGUACCUGGAUUUUCAUCCAUUUUACUUGUUAGAGGCCAUCCAUCUUUGUUCUAC